AUUUGAGUGAUGAUGACUAUUGUGUUUUGGACUAGAGUUUCUGAUGCUCCACUUUGUGGUAGUAUUUGAAGACCAAACCCUUGGCUGUCUGAACUCAAAU